rnacentral:rRNA from 1 species
UAAUACCAGCUCCUGGAGUGUCUAUGAUGAUUGCUGCAGUUAAAGCGUUCGUAGUCAAGGAUGAUGAGCGGUAGUACAGGCUGUGUAUUGAGCAGAGCAGUUUAUCGCUACAGAUUGGAAUGAGGAGCGUCUAGGGGACAGGUUAUUAAGCGACGAGAGGUGAAAUUUGGUGACUCGCUUAGGAGCGACAGAGGCGAAAGCGCUGUGCAGGGGCGAAUCCGAUGAUAAAGGACGUAGGCUAGAGGAUCGAAGACGAUUAGAGACCGUUGUAGUUCUAGCAGUAAACGAUGCCGAUGCCGUGGUGGUUAUGCAACGCGGAAGAGAAAUCUAGUAGGGCGCUGGGGAGAGUACACGCGCAAGCGAGAAAUUUAAAGGAAAUUGACGGAAGAACACCACAAGGAGUGGAGUGUGCGGCUUAAUUUGACUCAACGCGGGACAACUUACCAGGCGCGACGACAGGAUGAGUGUGGUACACGAUAUGUCGGAGAGUGGUGCAUGGCCCGUUAACGACNAGUGAGGUGACUUUUGGGUUAAGUCCCGAGAAGUUGGUGAGACCCCCUAUUAUUGACAAGGUGCUCAAAGCACAGGAAGGAAGGGUCAAGAACAGGUCAGUGAUGCCCUUAGAUGGUCUGGGCUGCACGCGCACUACAGUGGUCAUAUGAAUCUACGGAUAGAAAUAAUUGUGAUCGAGAGGAAAUGAGCUUUGGAAGAGGCUCAGGAACGAGGAAUUGCUAGUAAUCGCGGACUCAUUAAGACGCGAUGAAUACGUCCCUGUUCUUUGUACACACCGCCCGUCGUUAUCGAAGAUGGAGUCAGGCGCGAACAAGCGAGAGCGAGUGAGUGCAGGAUUCUAGAUGUGAUACAAGUCGUAACAAGGUAGCUGUAGGAGAACCUGUAGCUGGAUCAGC